GCUAUACAUGCAAGUCGAGCGGACAGAUGGGAGCUUGCUCCCUGAUGUUAGCGGCGGACGGGUGAGUAACACGUGGGUAACCUGCCUGUAAGACUGGGAUAACUCCGGGAAACCGGGGCUAAUACCGGAUGGUUGUUUGAACCGCAUGGUUCAAACAUAAAAGGUGGCUUCGGCUACCACUUACAGAUGGACCCGCGGCGCAUUAGCUAGUUGGUGAGGUAACGGCUCACCAAGGCAACGAUGCGUAGCCGACCUGAGAGGGUGAUCGGCCACACUGGGACUGAGACACGGCCCAGACUCCUACGGGAGGCAGCAGUAGGGAAUCUUCCGCAAUGGACGAAAGUCUGACGGAGCAACGCCGCGUGAGUGAUGAAGGUUUUCGGAUCGUAAAGCUCUGUUGUUAGGGAAGAACAAGUACCGUUCGAAUAGGGCGGUACCUUGACGGUACCUAACCAGAAAGCCACGGCUAACUACGUGCCAGCAGCCGCGGUAAUACGUAGGUGGCAAGCGUUGUCCGGAAUUAUUGGGCGUAAAGGGCUCGCAGGCGGUUUCUUAAGUCUGAUGUGAAAGCCCCCGGCUCAACCGGGGAGGGUCAUUGGAAACUGGGGAACUUGAGUGCAGAAGAGGAGAGUGGAAUUCCACGUGUAGCGGUGAAAUGCGUAGAGAUGUGGAGGAACACCAGUGGCGAAGGCGACUCUCUGGUCUGUAACUGACGCUGAGGAGCGAAAGCGUG
rnacentral:rRNA from 1 species